rnacentral:tRNA from 1 species
GGGGAUAUAGCUCAGUUGGUAGAGUGCUUGCCUCAAAUGCACAAGGCCCUGGGUUCAAUCCCGAGUACCCCCC